AUUUUCCCCAUCCGGAUUCGUUGGGAGUCAGGACGAGGGAGGGAAGGGCCCCUGACGAUGUCGGUGCCGGAGGCGGGGCAAUCGGCGGGGAGGGACGAGCAGGAGAUGGACGAUUACGAGCAGCACCAGACCAGAGUGCUCAUGGCGCUGAUGCAGGGCUUGUGCGCCGCAAGGUACCGCAAGGCCGACAACACCCCCUGCCUCGUCGACCAGGGCCUCUACUUGGGUUCUGUUGGAGCAGCACUGAACAACGAGGCUCUAAAGAGCUUGAACAUCACCCACAUCUUGGUUGUAGCCAGAUCACUGAAUCCCGCCUUUCCAGCAGAAUUUACGUACAAGAAGAUCGAGGUACUUGACAGCCCAGACACUGAUUUGGGAAAGCAUUUCGGUGAAUGCUUUACUUUCAUAGAUGAGGGUAUCUGCACUGGUGGCAAUGUGCUGGUUCACUGCUUUGCAGGUCGGUCGCGGAGUGUCACAGUUGUUCUUGCAUAUCUUAUGAAGAAGCAUCAGAUGAGCCUGCAAAGUGCCAUGUCACUAGUUAGAAGCAAACGACCUCAAAUAGCACCCAAUGCGGGCUUUAUAUCCCAGCUGGUGAACUUUGAGAAGUCUCUGCAAGUGGAGCAGGGACAAAGAACGUUGCAAUCUAACUAACUACAGGGUAAUUUUUAGCCACGGAAUCAGCGCUACAAGAAUGCAGAUGAUACAGCAGUCUCCCCUGUAAUAAAUGUUCCCUGUAAUGCAGAUGAUACCUUUGCCCUCUUCAUUUAGGGCCAGUUUGAAUCACGGGGAAUUUUCCUGUUGACUGGUAAACGACCUGUUCCAUUUUGAUGCUCAAUGCUCUUCAGCAGCAGCAGCCUUCUGUAAUGAAAGAUGUACUUCCUCCGUUUCUAAAUAUAAGCCCUUUUAGAGAUUUCAGUACGAACUAAAUAUGGAUGUAUAUAGACAUAUUUUAGAGUGUAGAUUCAUUCAUUUUGCUCCGUAUCUAGUCCAUAUUAAAAUCUCUAAAAAGACUUAUAUUUAUGGACGG
rnacentral:rRNA from 1 species